CAUGCUUUUUUGAGUCUUCCCUGUUACCUUGGUAAACAUGGGUUUUCCAUGCUGAGUGACCAUGGUGCAUUGAUCACAGUCCACUGUGAUGGAUGAGUUGUGGUAUGACUCUUUUGAGUGCUUGAGAAUGUAAUACAGGUCUGUUACACCUCCUUCAAAGACAGUGCUAAAAUAACGAGGAAUGAGGGUCCUUCCAAUUGCUGUGAGGAAAAUACAAAGCAGAAUUCAGCAAAUGCUCUAGGUUAUAAAAUCUUCAACUAUUUGCUAACAGAACAUGAAUAAAUUUAAGUGCAAUGAAAUCAAACUUUCAUUUAAGUAAUAUAACACGUUUUCUGUCUGCUGUAGAAAUGGAGUUGUGCCUGCUCCUAGUGAAAUCAAUGAGCACAGCUUAUUCUGAUAUUCAGAGAGAGUGAUCUCAUCUUAUUCAAUCUCUUUACACUGAUGGUGAGUUAGAGUCACUUUUGAAACCAUCUGCAAGUUUUUUGUCCCAGUAAUUAUCAUACAGAGAGCCACAUGGUGCCAAUUAUGACUGAAAGUUGGAUAUUACUCAUAAAUGUAUAAAGACAAGUGCUGAGCACUUACAGAAAUGCAUUUUUACAUUCAAAAAAGCAAAGUGCAUUUAUAUAGAGUAGUUGUGGACACAAAUAUGUUUGCAUGUGUGCACAUGUGUAUGUAUAUACAGCUGCACACACACUGUUGACUGCGUUGACUGCAUAGGAAGCUAUGGCUGUCAAUCUGGAGAGUGAAGAAAAACCUGCGAAUGCAAUACAGUGUAUGUUACACAACAUACGAUUGCCAACAAAGAGUCUACCUGAAAUCUCUCUUUAGACUGAGUGUAUUUGUGCCACAGGCUGGAAGGUCUGUGGUAGCUUAUAUCCACUCUUAGUCCUCAGGAGCAUGGACUUCAAGUACUGAGUUCUCCAAGUAAGUAAUAGUAAUAGUGAGCAUGGCAUGCAUUUUGGAUGCACAGACUAGCAGAAAACCGGUAUCAAAGGCAAUUAUCUCACAUGCAACCGAUGCUUUCCACCUGUUUUUUUUACAGAUAAAUUUGGAUGCAACCACAAGCUUGUAUGAAAGAACACUUUAGUUUAUAAUAGACCAAUACCCAUACUGAACGAGUCAUUGCCUAGCAUGCAUUAAUCAAUCCACAGUAAUUCUGAGUGGUGGAUACAUGAAAAUUACCUCCAUCUUCAAAGGGAAAAACUGAGAGAUCUAAACUAAAUGUUCUGGAACAAUGAGACAGAAAAGUCACCACCAACAGGCAAAAUUAGAGUUGAUUAGCUCCUAAUUCUUACUUAUCUACCAGGACUAUGCGGUGACUCAUGUCUCUCUUAUACCUUUCAGAGUAAUUUCUGAAGAACUUAUUUUCAUAGGAAUUUUGCCAGCAUACAAACAAGGGCACUUGACCCUAAAAAUGUAUUUGCAAGUGGGUGUUGUAAAUUAAAAACUAUGGUGUUUUCACAGAAGUGGUUUCUGUGAAAGCUGUUUCUGCUCGGUGUGUUACAAUGUGGAGUAUUUCAAUGUGCAGUUAUAAUGCACAUUAUGUAAGGAAAAUAUACAAAUGUAGGAAAUAAGGACUUAAAGCUUUUACUGCAAUAUUAGAUAUCAACAUAAUUUUAAGGAUUAAAAUAUACUGUGUUCGCUGGAUAUGGCUGACAGUUCAAUGAAUACUUUGAACAACUAUUCUACAACUCAAGCUCCUAAAAAACCCACCCACUCACCAUGGCCAUGCAUGUAUUAAUUUUCUGCAGUUUUUUAAUUCAAUUUAGAGAAAAUGAAGUCCAGUGUAUCAGCAUAAGACUCGAGCUUUAACUCAAAUUUUUCCGUCUUGGUAUGGUAUAUAGCAAAACUUGAAACUUUUCCAUCAUGUUAAUUUUUUGCUCCCCUAAGGCUAAUUAGUGCAAAUUAAAUUUCCUGCUAAUCAUCCUAGGCAGCAAAUGUGUGAUAUGAAAAUCCAGCAUUCCUACUGAUUGUGAUAAACCUCUAUUCACGUGACUUAGGCAUCACAUAAAAUCCUGAAACUUCUUUAACUGCAUUUAUAGACCAUUCCUGAAGUAGCAUAGUCAUAUGGUGCUGGUUUUAGCCUUGUAACCGCAGCUACAACACAAUAAAGAAGGCUAGAACUACAUUAAAUAUCUUAUUAUUUUUCCUACUAAGCACUGUCUGUUCUUGCCACCGGGAUCUGCUACUGUGAAUAAUGAAGUGAGGAGCCAAAAGGAUGAGGAGGAACAGAGGUGCACAUAAGGUGGUGCCCCACAGAACCUCAUUUUCAUCUACAGAUGCCCAUGCAGACUCUGUCUGUAAAAGGAAAAGCUGCUCAUUUCCUGUGUAAUUCAAGCGUUGUUAGAUUAGACUUCCUUUUCUUCCAGGAACCCAAAAGCUACAUGCCUUCAUGAUGUGCCACGACAUCGACACAAGCUAACCCUAUGAAGAAGCUGGACAUAUUAUUUUGGACUCUGAGCCAGGUGUGGAUGGCCACAUGGUUUCUGGUCAGCUCAGUGUGUGAAGUGGACAGGCUCAUAUACGCCUCUGCAUGUAAGCAGAGCUGGGCUCCUCAGCACUGGAAGACUCUUCAUGGCAAGAUGCAAGCCCACAGGCAGGUGAUGUGAAGAACAAUUGUUCCUCUCCUGCAUGCAGGACUUCAUCCUCAUCGCAAUCGGUCAAGCAUCGCUGCAUGGCUCACAUUCAAGUUAAAAAUACUAGAGGUGAAAUGUGUUUACCUGUCCAUCAAAGGGGACGCAGCAUGGUGGGAGAAUGUGUGAACAACUGGUGGGGGGUGAGGGGUUACAGUAAUAUGAUAAAAGAUACACGAGGCAUUCUCAAAACCCUGAAACUGCAAUGAGCACAUGUGGAUUGAUAGCCAGCAUGAUUUUUCUCGUAAUUUUAUGCUGCAGACGUAUGAACAAUAUCUCACCAGUGGAUAAUAUCAGUUGUCGGUUAUAUACAUGUUUUAUAACAACCAGAACACUGUUUCUCAAAAAGCCGUCGGUGGCUAGCUUUGAUUUCCUUUUUUUCUGCAGUAAAGCUUGCUUUCCCACUCUCUUUCACUUUAAAGCUAAUGGAAGCUAACUGCAGAGAAAGUAAAAAGGUAUUCAACGUGUUAGACACAAUCAUUAGGAAAAUAUUCUACCAUUUAAAAGUGUUUUGUUGGUUUUAAAAGUACUGCUUGUUUAUUAUCCUUAAAAAAGAAGGCAAGUGCCCUGUGUUCAGCUAUACAAAUCAGUUGUCUGACAAAAUAAUGUCAAAUAAUAAAUAACCACUUUCAGAAAAGGGCAAGCAAUGUAACAGGCUUAUAAUCCUCAGUUAGAGCACACAUUAUAUGCGGUUUUAAAUAAAAUUUUACGCAGUAAGUAAUGUGGAAUGCUCUUAACUGGAAAAAGGCAACAUCUGUAAUAAGUGCUGCAACAAACCUGUACUGAAACUGCAAUAACCUCUUUCUAUGUUUUAUGUCAUUUUCGCUAUAUGACGCAGUUUUUCCACAUUUCACAGAGUGCCAUUGUAUCAUCUUCUUGAUAUACCGUUGUUGCAAUGACUGACUAUGAUUUCUAGAACCACUGCAUGUACAGGCAUUGUGACAAACCUGAUCUGCCACUGUAAGGACAGCUUCAGGGACCUUCUGAGCAUAAAAUAUGGCCACCAAUAGGGUCAUCCCAA